GACGAACGCUGGCGGCGUGCCUAAUACAUGCAAGUAGAACGCACAGUUUAUACCGUAGCUUGCUACACCAUAGACUGUGAGUUGCGAACGGGUGAGUAACGCGUAGGUAACCUGCCUGGUAGCGGGGGAUAACUAUUGGAAACGAUAGCUAAUACCGCAUAAUAUUGAUUAUUGCAUGAUAAUUGAUUGAAAGAUGCUAUUGCAUCACUACCAGAUGGACCUGCGUUGUAUUAGCUAGUAGGUGAGGUAACGGCUCACCUAGGCGACGAUACAUAGCCGAACUGAGAGGGUGAUCGGCCACACUGGGACGGAGACACGGCCCAGACUCCUACGGGAGGCAGCAGUAGGGAAUCUUCGGCAAUGGACGAAAGUCUGACCGAGCAACGCCGCGUGAGUGAAGAAGGUUUUCGGAUCGUAAAGCUCUGUUGUAAGAGAAGAACGGGUGUGAGAGUGGAAAGUUCACACUGUGACGGUAGCUGACCAGAAAGGGACGGCUAACUACGUG
rnacentral:rRNA from 1 species